GCUGUGGGUACAAUGGGUGAGGGGCCAGAGUGUGAGAGGAAGGGAGUGCCCAGUCUUUGCUGCAGCAGGGACUGAUAGGAACAGCAACAGGAAGACAGGAAGUGGAUGAGAGCAUAGAGGAAGUGGUGCUUCCUUGCCCAGUAAGUCUUCCCACAGCAUCCGCAGGAAGUAUCAAUGGAGCAGAGAGCAGCCAAGCCAACCACACAAUAGACGACAGGGGGUGAAAGGGCAUGGAGCGUUCCAGUGACAACUAUGCCAUGCUUGUCAGGACAGAUGGAGGAAUGUGGAGGCUUUAGAAGACUGCAAGACCCACUCUGAAUGAACACAGUCAGACCCUGCCUGAAGAGGAAGAAGUCGACUUGGAUUCGUCAGAGUGAUCUCUUCCAUUUGACUUCUGCCAAGUUUCUUUGAAAAAUAACUUUUAUAGGGUGUUAGAAUGGAGAUUGAAGAAUCCAGAUUGAAUGUCAGUGCUUUGUAUUGUUGAAAAAAAAGUUGGAGAGUGACAGUUCCUUUUGACCCCACUGAUUUCGCAAAUCUAUUUUCUUAACUUUCCACUUUUUCAAAACUUAAACGCAAUUU